rnacentral:rRNA from 1 species
CUAGUUGUAUUACUAUUAGUUAAUGCAAGAUCGACUACGUCGACUAAAGUUCUAGGUACAAUAAUGAUGAUGACAAUUUUUUAUCUAUAUGUCUUGACCAAGUCUCGUGCCAGCAGUCGCGGUAAUACGUGGAAUACUAGUGUUAUUCAUCUUUAAUAGGUUUAAAGGGUACCUAGACGGUAUUUCUAGCCCAAAAUAGGGUACGGAUUUACUAUAGUUUUAUGUGAGGAGGGGAGUACUUAUGGAGUAGAGAUGAUUUUUUGUGAUACUAUGAGGAAACUGGUGGCGGCGAAAGCAACCUUCUAUGUAUAAACUGACGUUGAGGGACGAAGGCUUGGGUAGCAGAUAGGAUUAAAUACCCUAUUAAUCCAAGCAGACGAUUCUGAAUGCCAUAAAUUAUAUUAUUUUUGGUCUAUAAAUGAAAGUGUAAGCAUUCCACCUUAGGAGUAAUGUGGCAACGCAGGAACUGAAAUCAUUACACCGUUUCUGAAACCAGUACUGAAGUAUGUUAUUUAAUUUGAUGGUCCACAAUGAACCUUACCACAGCUUGAAUAUUAUUAAAUUAAUACUAGCGUUGCACGGAUGUCUUCAUUUAAUGUCGUGAGAUUUUGGUUAACUCCAUUAAUUAACGUAUACCCUUACUUUA